CCUACGGGAGGCAGCAGUGGGGAACAUUGCACAAUGGGCGCAAGCCUGAUGCAGCGACGCCGCGUUGGGGAUGACAGCCUUCGGGUUGUAAACUCCUUUCAACCAUGACGAAGCUUUUUGUGACGGUAGUGGUAGAAGAAGCACCGGCUAACUACGUGCCAGCAGCCGCGGUAAUACGUAGGGUGCGAGCGUUGUUCGGAAUUACUGGGCGUAAAGAGCUCGUAGGUGGUUUGUCGCGUCGUCUGUGAAAUUCCGGGGCUUAACUCCGGGCGUGCAGGCGAUACGGGCAUAACUUGAGUACUGUAGGGGAGACUGGAAUUCCUGGUGUAGCGGUGAAAUGCGCAGAUAUCAGGAGGAACACCGAUGGCGAAGGCAGGUCUCUGGACAGUUACUGACGCUGAGGAGCGAAAGCAUGGGUAGCGAACAGGAUUAGAUACCCUGGUAGUCCAUGCCGUAAACGGUGGGCGCUAGGUGUGGGGGUCUUCCACGACUUCCGUGCCGUAGCUAACGCAUUAAGCGCCCCGCCUGGGGAGUACGGCCGCAAGGCUA
rnacentral:rRNA from 1 species